GACGAACGCUGGCGGCGUGCUUAACACAUGCAAGUCGAACGGAAAGGCCCUGCUUUUGUGGGGUGCUCGAGUGGCGAACGGGUGAGUAACACGUGAGUAACCUGCCCUUGACUUUGGGAUAACUUCAGGAAACUGGGGCUAAUACCGGAUAGGAGCUCCUGCUGCAUGGUGGGGGUUGGAAAGUUUCGGCGGUGGGGGAUGGACUCGCGGCUUAUCAGCUUGUUGGUGUGGUAGUGGCUUACCAAGGCUUUGACGGGUAGCCGGCCUGAGAGGGUGACCGGCCACCUUGGGACUGAGAUACGGACCAGACUGCUACGGGAGGCAGCAGUGGGGAAUAUUGCACAAUGGGCGGAAGCCUGAUGCAGCAACGCCGCGUGCGGGAUGACGGCCUUCGGGUUGUAAACCGCUUUCGCCUGUGACGAAGCGUGAGUGACGGUAAUGGGUAAAGAAGCACCGGCUAACUACGUG
rnacentral:rRNA from 1 species